rnacentral:misc_RNA from 1 species
UUGCGGAGCUGCUGGUCAUC